rnacentral:rRNA from 1 species
AUGCAGCCCGACAAAGCUCCAUUGCAGCCGGGACGGAACUCCAACGACUCUGGGGGCCUACAUUGCAGCCUCGGGCGUGCUCUAUUGCAGCCAGGCGAAGCUCCAACGACCCCAGCAUCACUCCAUUGCAGCCCCGGGCUCACUGGGUUGCAGCCGCGGCGGAGCACCAACGACUCCCCGGCGGCGCUCCAUUGCAGCACCUGCGACGCAGCGCACGGCAACGAGCAAAAAUGCCGACGCUGCAAGGUCGAUGGUGAGCUGCGCGACGCCGAGUCAUCAGCUGCUACUGGUGAGAAGGGAUUGAAGAGCUCCUCCAUGAACGGCUGCAAACGCAGGUGCGUGCAGCAUGGUGAGCGCUGCAAACGCUGGGGCAGCAGCAGCGCGCCACGCCGGUGGUCGGAGGAGCUGUCACGGAGAGGUGAGAGAAGGAAAGAAGUAAGAGGAGCUGGGCGCAGCCUUGCGUCGUGGGUGGUCGGAGGAGCUGAGCGGAGAGAUGAGAGAAGGAGAGAGGUAGGAGACGACGGGAGUAGAAGAGAAGAAGAUAAGGAUAAGAAACGAGUGUCUCGGGAGGAAAUAGCGGGUACUUUGUGCGUGGUCCACCGUGACGCGUGGCGUCCGGGCGACGCGGAUGAUUUCCGUAAGAAAUCAUUCGGUUGUUUUUAA